rfam:Shigella dysenteriae Sd197 plasmid pSD1_197, complete sequence.
CGCUUAUUUUGCGAAGGCGGAGUUCGACCGCCUCUGGAAAAAAUGAUGCCACUGCUGGAUAAGCUGCGUGAGCAGUACGGGGUCGGACCGCUAUGCAGCGAACUGCAUAUUGCCCCG